GUCUACGGCCAUGCCACUCUGAACGUGCCCGAUCUUGUCUGAUCUCGGAAGCUAAGCAGGGUGGGGCCUGGUUAGUACUUGGAUGGGAGACCACCUAGGAAUACCAAAUGCUGUAGGCA
rnacentral:rRNA from 1 species